AGGUUAAGCAGUAAAUGUGGAGCCGUAGCGAAAGCGAGUCUGAAUAGGGCGUUUAGUAUUUGGUCGUAGACCCGAAACCAGGUGAUCUACCCUUGGUCAGGUUGAAGUUCAGGUAACACUGAAUGGAGGACCGAACCGACUUACGUUGAAAAGUGAGCGGAUGAACUGAGGGUAGCGGAGAAAUUCCAAUCGAACCUGGAGAUAGCUGGUUCUCUCCGAAAUAGCUUUAGGGCUAGCCUCAAGUGAUGAUUAUUGGAGGUAGAGCACUGUUUGGACGAGGGGCCCCUCUCGGGUUACCGAAUUCAGACAAACUCCGAAUGCCAAUUAAUUUAACUUGGGAGUCAGAACAUGGGUGAUAAGGUCCGUGUUCGAAAGGGAAACAGCCCAGACCACCAGCUAAGGUCCCAAAAUAUA
rnacentral:rRNA from 1 species